CGUAGGUGGCAAGCGUUGUCCGGAAUUAUUGGGCGUAAAGCGCGCGCAGGCGGUUCCUUAAGUCUGAUGUGAAAGCCCCCGGCUCAACCGGGGAAGGUCAUUGGAAGCUGGGGAACUUGAGUGCAGAAGAGAAGAGCGGAAUUCCACGUGUAGCGGUGAAAUGCGUAGAGAUGUGGAGGAACACCAGUGGCGAAGGCGGCUCUUUGGUCUGUAACUGACGCUGAGGCGCGAAAGCGUGGGGAGCAAACAGGAUUAGAUACCCUGGUAGUCCACGCCGUAAACGAUGAGUGCUAAGUGUUAGAGGGUUUCCGCCCUUUAGUGCUGCAGCUAACGCAUUAAGCACUCCGCCUGGGGAGUACGGCCGCAAGGCUG
rnacentral:rRNA from 1 species